UCUGAAAGCAUGACGGCCGCCGCCGGAACAUCCAAGGCUCCGGCAUCGAAGCCGGCAGCGAAGAAGACCGAGCAGAAGCCUCAGCCGAAGAGGAAGGCAGCUCCCAAAGCUAAAGGAGGCAAGGCAGCUGCUGCAAAAAAUUGAAGAGAUCAAGUAACAAGAAGCAGAAGAUAUUACGCAUAUAGACUUUGAAUCGUCAUCCUUUGUACCUUUUGUUGAUGUUGAUGUUUCAGCUUAUUAUUGUCAUGAGGCUUGUGUGCUAAAAGCUCAAAACUUUUUCUAAAAUGUUAUGAUGAUGAGCCCAGUGGAAUAAUAACACAGCCUUUUGAAAAUUAUGAUCUUA